rnacentral:rRNA from 1 species
CAGCGCCACGAGUGGCAACCGCGAUUAUUGGGCCUAAAGCGUCCGUAGCCGGCCUUGUAAAUCCUUUGUGAAAUUGAGCGGCUUAACCGACCAACGUGCAAGGGAGACUGCAAGGCUUGAGACCGGGAGGAGUCAGAAGUAUUCCUGAGGGAGCGGUAAAAUGUUUUAAUCUCAGGAGGACUACCUGUGGCGAAGGCGUCUGACCAGAACGGAUCUGACGGUGAGGGACGAAAGCCAGGGGAGCGAACCGGAUUAGAUACCCGAGUAGUCC